ensembl:lncRNA
UGGUGGUGUAAACAGGGAAGAAGAUUAGGGGUGUGUCAUGGGCCAUGUCACUCCUCAGUGCCCCUCCUCCUCUCUUUAUGACAAAGGAGUGAUAAAAGAAGUCCAGGAGACCUGAGGAUACCUGUACGGAGAGCUCAGGAGACAUUUCCAUAGGCUCAUUGUCAAGUGAAUUGUCAAAGCCCCCAUUCGCUGGGAAGCAAAGAUUCUUUUCCUGUAUAGGUUAUUACAGAAUAUUGAGUGGAGUUCCCUGUGCUAUACACCUGAUACUAAUGUCUGGUGCCUUUCUGAAUCUAUAUUUAUUUGCAUCUCCCCUGAACGAAAACCCAAUAUUCUCAGUCCUCUGUAUCUAUGAGUUCC